rnacentral:rRNA from 1 species
GAUGAACGCUAGCUUCAGGCUUAACACAUGCAAGUCGAGGGGUAACGAGAGGGAAGCUUGCUUUCCUUGUCGACGACCGGCGCACGGGUGAGUAACGCGUAUCCAACCUGCCCCCAACUAAGGAAUAGCCUUGCGAAAGUAAGACUAAUACCUUAUAAUUUCCUCAGAUGACAUCUGACGAGGAAUAAAGAUUUAUCGGUUGUGGAUGGGGAUGCGUCUGAUUAGCUUGUUGGCGGGGUAACGGCCCACAAAGGCAACGAUCAGUAGGGGUUCUGAGAGGAAGGGCCCCCACAUUGGAACUGAGACACGUGCCAAACUCCUACGGGAGGAAGCAGUGAGGAAUAUUGGUCAAUGGGCGGAAGCCUGAACCAGCCAAGUAGCGUACAGGAUGACGGCCCUAUGGGUUGUAAACUGCUUUUAUACAGGAAUAAAGUUAGCCACGUGUGGUUAUUUGUAGGUACUGUAUGAAUAAGGACCGGCUAAUUCCGUGCCAGCCGCCGCGGUAA